GAAGAUGCUGGGUGCAGUGAACUGCACCUGUAAUUCCAGCUACUUGGGAGGCUGAGGCAGGAGGAU
rnacentral:miRNA from 1 species